UCCCUGAUGGCCUAGUGGUUAAGGCUUUGGCAUUGUCACUGCAUGGCACAGGUUUGAUCCCUGCCCCGGGAA
rnacentral:tRNA from 1 species